GGAUAGUUCCUUGAACCGCAUGGUUCAAGGAUGAAAGACGGUUUCGGCUGUCACUUACAGAUGGACCCGCGGCGCAUUAGCUAGUUGGUGGGGUAAUGGCUCACCAAGGCGACGAUGCGUAGCCGACCUGAGAGGGUGAUCGGCCACACUGGGACUGAGACACGGCCCAGACUCCUACGGGAGGCAGCAGUAGGGAAUCUUCCGCAAUGGACGAAAGUCUGACGGAGCAACGCCGCGUGAGUGAUGAAGGUUUUCGGAUCGUAAAGCUCUGUUGUUAGGGAAGAACAAGUGCGAGAGUAACUGCUCGCACCUGACUGU
rnacentral:rRNA from 1 species